rnacentral:tRNA from 1 species
GGAAGCAUUGAGCAAUUGGUUGGCUCGCCAGACUGAAAUGCGUUUUUACGCAUUCAACGAAUCCUAUUAAUAAAUAGAAUCCGUUGAGUUAAAAUCUGGUCUUUAUAAGCGUGUAGGUUCGAGCCCUACUGCUUCCA